GACGAACCGUGCGAACGUUAUUCGGAAUCACUGGGCUUAAAGCGCGUGUAGGCGGGAGGGCGACGUCCGUUGCUGAAAUCCCCCGGCUCAACCGGGGAACGGGCGCGGAUACGACUCUCCUUGAGGGGCGUAGGGGGACCUGGAACUUCCGGUGGAGCGGUGAAAUGCGUUGAGAUCGGAAGGAACGCCCGUGGCGAAAGCGAGGUCCUGGACGCCUACUGACGCUGAGACGCGAAAGCCAGGGGAGCGAACGGG
rnacentral:rRNA from 1 species